rnacentral:rRNA from 1 species
AGUGAACGCUGGCGGUAGGCCUAACACAUGCAAGUCGAACGGCAGCACCGAGGAGCUUGCUCCUUGGGUGGCGAGUGGCGGACGGGUGAGGAAUACAUCGGAAUCUACUCUGUCGUGGGGGAUAACGUAGGGAAAGUUACGCUAAUACCGCAUACGACCUACGGGUGAAAGCAGGGGAUCUUCGGACCUUGCGCGAUUGAAUGAGCCGAUGUCGGAUUAGCUAGUUGGCGGGGCAAAGGCCCACCAAGGCGACGAUCCGUAGCUGGUCUGAGAGGAUGAUCAGCCACACUGGAACUGAGACACGGUCCAGACUCCUACGGGAGGCAGCAGUGGGGAAUAUUGGACAAUGGGCGCAAGCCUGAUCCAGCCAUACCGCGUGGGUGAAGAAGGCCUUCGGGUUGUAAAGCCCUUUUGUUGGGAAAGAAAUCCAUCUGGUUAAUACCCGGGUGGGAUGACGGUACCCAAAGAAUAAGCACCGGCUAACUUCGUGCCAGCCGCCGCCGUAA